rnacentral:piRNA from 1 species
UCCUGAUUCAGUGCUACAACCAAAUGUGA